rnacentral:rRNA from 1 species
AGAGUUUGAUCCUGGCUCAGGACGAACGCUGGCGGCGUGCCUAAUACAUGCAAGUCGAGCGGACCGACGGGAGCUUGCUCCCUUAGGUCAGCGGCGGACGGGUGAGUAACACGUGGGUAACCUGCCUGUAAGACUGGGAUAACUCCGGGAAACCGGGGCUAAUACCGGAUGCUUGAUUGAACCGCAUGGUUCAAUCAUAAAAGGUGGCUUUUAGCUACCACUUGCAGAUGGACCCGCGGCGCAUUAGCUAGUUGGUGAGGUAACGGCUCACCAAGGCGACGAUGCGUAGCCGACCUGAGAGGGUGAUCGGCCACACUGGGACUGAGACACGGCCCAGACUCCUACGGGAGGCAGCAGUAGGGAAUCUUCCGCAAUGGACGAAAGUCUGACGGAGCAACGCCGCGUGAGUGAUGAAGGUUUUCGGAUCGUAAAACUCUGUUGUUAGGGAAGAACAAGUACCGUUCGAAUAGGGCGGUACCUUGACGGUACCUAACCAGAAAGCCACGGCUAACUACGUGCCAGCAGCCGCGGUAAUACGUAGGUGGCAAGCGUUGUCCGGAAUUAUUGGGCGUAAAGCGCGCGCAGGCGGUUUCUUAGGUCUGAUGUGAAAGCCCCCGGCUCAACCGGGGAGGGUCAUUGGAAACUGGGGAACUUGAGUGCAGAAGAGGAGAGUGGAAUUCCACGUGUAGCGGUGAAAUGCGUAGAGAUGUGGAGGAACACCAGUGGCGAAGGCGACUCUCUGGUCUGUAACUGACGCUGAGGCGCGAAAGCGUGGGGAGCGAACAGGAUUAGAUACCCUGGUAGUCCACGCCGUAAACGAUGAGUGCUAAGUGUUAGAGGGUUUCCGCCCUUUAGUGCUGCAGCAAACGCAUUAAGCACUCCGCCUGGGGAGUACGGUCGCAAGACUGAAACUCAAAGGAAUUGACGGGGGCCCGCACAAGCGGUGGAGCAUGUGGUUUAUUCGAAGCAACGCGAAGAACCUUACCAGGUCUUGACAUCCUCUGACAACCCUAGAGAUAGGGCUUCCCCUUCGGGGGCAGAGUGACAGGUGGUGCAUGGUUGUCGUCAGCUCGUGUCGUGAGAUGUUGGGUUAAGUCCCGCAACGAGCGCAACCCUUGAUCUUAGUUGCCAGCAUUCAGUUGGGCACUCUAAGGUGACUGCCGGUGACAAACCGGAGGAAGGUGGGGAUGACGUCAAAUCAUCAUGCCCCUUAUGACCUGGGCUACACACGUGCUACAAUGGGCAGAACAAAGGGCAGCGAAGCCGCGAGGCUAAGCCAAUCCCACAAAUCUGUUCUCAGUUCGGAUCGCAGUCUGCAACUCGACUGCGUGAAGCUGGAAUCGCUAGUAAUCGCGGAUCAGCAUGCCGCGGUGAAUACGUUCCCGGGCCUUGUACACACCGCCCGUCACACCACGAGAGUUUGUAACACCCGAAGUCGGUGAGGUAACCUUUUGGAGCCAGCCGCCGAAGGUGGGACAGAUGAUUGGGGUGAAGUCGUAACAAGGUAACC